rnacentral:lncRNA from 1 species
AACUCAAGUGGGUUCUCCCAGUAAUUUGGGUCCCUUCCAAUAGCCCACAAGUUAACAAAUAAUUGUGUCUUUGUAGGAAUAUCAUAACCUCUGAUGGUGCAAUCUUCAAUAGAUUCUCUAGCGAUCACUGCACCAGGAGGAUGGAGCCUAAGUGUCUCCUUAACAAUGGCUUGAAGAUAAGGAAGGUUUGCGAUAUCUGAUUCUUCCACAAGUCUAUCCUUUCCCACUACAGAAUCUAUCUCUUGUCUUGCUUUCUCCAUAAUGUUUGGGUGGUUAAUUAGCUCUGCUACUGCCCAUACUGCUGCUGCAGCAGAUGUAUCCGUUCCCCCUCCAAAAAUAUUCUGGACAAGUUAAAAAAAUCACUCUUUGUAAAUUAAUAAACAAAACUUCUUCAGUUAUUUUCUGGUAUAGAAAUUUUGAUUGGAUUGGGUUUAGGCAAUGAAUAUGAUACAUGUGAUUAUGAGAUUAGUAAAAGUGAGAAUUAGUUACCAGGAUGAUGGCCUUGACGUUCUCUCUUGUCAGUCUCAUCUCCUCUUUCUCAUCUUCGAUUAUAUCAAGUAAAAUAUCAAGCAAGUCAUUCACUGUGUCUCCUCCAUUAUUCGGAUCCCUUUUCUUCCUCCUUUCUUCUUCAUGAGCCUUCAUAAUCCUUUCCAUCAUUGUAUCAAACCUUCCACGAGCUUCUUUGACUCUCUUCUUAAAUCCUUGCAGAUCCAAAUUCUUACAAAACCAGAUAAAAUCUGCCAAGUUAAAACUGCCUGUGAGCUGUACUAUCUCUUUCAUAAACUCUCUCACUUCGCUAGCAUCAUCCUCAUUCCCAGAACACCUGUGCCUCAGAAGAAUUCUUGUUACUAAGUUGUUUGUUAGCCUCAUAAUCUCUCCUUUAACAUCAACUGUCUCACCUGCUUCAGCUUUUCCCAAUAGUGUUUGCAAAAAUAGAUGUCUCUCUUCUCUCAUAACUGGGACAAAUUUCUCUAGUGUUUGGAGGCCGAGAAGUUUGGUCAUGCAAAGUUUCUUCAUGAAUUUCCAAUAGGGCCCAUAUGAAGAAAAGGCAAGAUCAACCGAGCCGUAGGUUAGGUAAUCAGCAUUGCUGAGUUUGGGUCGGUUGGAGAAUGAAAUAUCAUGGGUUUGGAGAAACUCUUUUGCCAUCUCCGGAGAGGAAACUACCACACAAGGGAUGGAACCAAGGAAGAGUUGAAAUAGCGGUCCAUAGCGGAGCGAGAGCUUGUGAAGGGAUUGGUGAGGUUUUGAGCCGAGGAGGUGGAAGUGUCCGAUGAUAGGUAGGGCUAGUGGGCCCGGUGGUCGUCGCACCCUGGUCCGGUACUUGGUGAACAAGGCAUGAACCACGACGACAGAUACGAGCCAAAUGAGGAAGAGAAUGAUAUAGUCUUGGACAUCAACCAUGGUUUGCAAACUCUGCACUCUUCUUCCUAUCUUUUUUUACUCGUAAUCUGUCAAUAACUUCUGGCCUGAUUUAGGAUCUUUAAUUCUCGAUAUGGGGUCGAAGAAACAGAUCCACUAUCAAAAUAAAAGAAAAACAAUAUCAUCUUAAGUCCUUGUUUGCAUCUACAAAUCAUUAUAAAACUAAUGAAAACGUCUUUGUUUUAGACUUUUAGUCGUAGCUUUUGUCUCUCAGUACAAAAAUAAUAUUUUCUAUCUUAAACAUUGCUUACAAGGAGUCACACAAAAGCAAAGUAUCUUGGAGCUAAAUAAAUCUAGAAUGAGUCUUUUGUUACUAUUUAGCUACAAAAUAGAGUAUAAGUUCAAAGUGUCUCAAGCUUGAUUUCCACAGUUUUGUGAUAACAACAAUGUUUAUUUGGCAAAUGUUAUUUAUAUUUUCAAUCCCAAUCCAUUUGUGUGAUAAUGGGGCAGGUUGGUGGUAUGCCAUUAGAUUGGGUCAGCAUGAAGUUGGGCCUUGAAGCCCAACUCUCUGUUGGUUGGGCCUGGUUUGUGGUCCUAUUUUGAGCUUUUGGAGUCAUCCAAGACACGUAAGGGCCAAUCUCAGCUCAACUUGACAUGAUAUAAAAUGUUUUGGUGAUGGGUUGCAUAAAUCUAAUUUGUGUAAGAUAGAGAAUAAAAAAGUGGUUUAAAUUUAAUAAUGCUUUCAUUCAUGCUUUUUAAUUUUCUGUCUUUCUUUUCUUAUGUAGAGAAUGAAGAAUUUUGAAAAGGUACAGUAUAAUUUUUUCAAAAAAUCAAAAAAUAAAAAUCAUUAGUGUUAUUUUUUAUUUUCAUCUGUAAAUUAAAUGAGGGAUUGUUUCGAGAUCAAAGGCAAUGGGUCCAAUUGGGCUACAAGUUGGGUUGGACUUAAGCCUUAAAUUUUGGGUUGACAUGGGGCUUGAGCCCAUAUCGUACAGGAUUUUGAAAAAUUCUAACUAUCAUAAUAAAUUCAACUUAAAAAUCAUAAGAAAAUUUCCUUUUUAUUAUCUAUCGUUUCUAAGUUCUAAAUAAUAAAAUGAAAUUUAUUUUAAUUACUAUGUACUUUAAAUUAUUCCUUAUCUUUUGUAUUUUUUUUUUUUGGAAAAAGAGAGAGAGUUUUUACUGGUUUUUUUCAUCCGUUGCUCCGGGAUUCAGUUCGGAUCACCAAAAGAAACGGAAAUGGAAAAAAAAUAAAUACAAAGAAGCUAAAAAAUUAAAAAUCACUUUUGGAUGUGCGUACACUUUCCUCGGAGAUCCAAACGGCCCCUAAAGAUUGAAUAUACCCAUAACUUCUAAAACCUAACAAAAACACUUGUACAAACUACAAAAAAGAGAGGAAAAAAAAAAUUAGAGAGAGAUCCCGAACAGGUACGUGAUCACCUCGCUUCAGACCGGUCGGAAUUGUAGGGACCCCUCCUCCUGAGAACACGUACCACACACCUCAUAUUGACACGUAGCACGCAGACCAUCCAGAUCACCCCAUCCGGAUACACAUGACGCGCCCUCAUAUCCGGCCUGCCUCAAGGAAGGUCAAACGACACUUAUAAACAUAAAACAUCCGGACAGCUUCCACGAUACAUCCGGAUGACCAACGUAGUCCAUCCGGAUAUAAUGGUCCGGAUCAUUGACUAAAGUAAGCAAGUCUCACACGUUAUCACAACAGCCUGUCAUGGCCCACGUUUCACCACCUGUAGAGUGAAGGGACAAGAUGAAGUGACAACAAGUCACUUCCCACGAACACCUACCACGAUCUCUGUCAGCCGCCCGUAGGGUAAUGGUAGCCCUGCCACCACCUAAUGUCAUCAUAACAACACAAAAUAUCUCCCUGCCAUUAAAGAGGGAAUCAAAGCUUCUGAUACGAUAUAUAUCAAUCUUCACACAAAGAGGAAGGUAAGCUUGCAAUACCUAAAAAAAAGCCAACUGAUUAUCUCUCUCUAACCAUGGCUAACAAAACCAUCGGAGGGUGCGUCCGGACACCCUGUCUGGACGUCUUUUGCAGGUAAACCAACUAAAUUAAGAACCUGUAUUGGUUGAGAACUACGCAUCCAUCAAUUUGGCAACUACGUGAAUCGUCAGGGACGCGAGGUAUCAACAGGAAUCUCUCUCUGAAAACUAGAGAUGAAAUGAAGAAAUAAUAUGAAAGAAGUGACGCAAUAAAUUACCGAUAGAAAUCUAAAAAUAAAGAUUUUGAGAAAUCGGAGAGACGGUUCGAUCGGAUCGUUACCUUCGGAGAUAUUGGAGCCGUUGAAAUUUGGGCGCAGGCGCUGAGAAGGGAAGACGAAGAGAUGGAACUGUGUGGUGGCGAGGAUUUUGUGGAGCAUUUUCUUGUAUUUUAAGGACGCCUAUGUGAUUGACUGAUCUCUGGCAAUGGGACGGUCAUACACGUUUUGUGGACUUUUGACAACGGUAAUUUAAAAAAAUUAUUCUUAAAAGAAAAAAAAUAAUUUCAAGUAGUUUUUGUUGAGGUUCCACGGAUAAAAUUUUAAUCGUCUCUUUAUUAAAAAAAUUUAAUAUUACAAAAAAUAAAUUUUUAAAAAAAAUUAAUAUUACAAAAAAUUAAAAAUUCAAACUAAUUUAUAAAAAUAAAAUUAAAAGGGAAAUCGUCUGUGUAGACCGAGAAGACAAGCUGGAUAAACUGUGUAGUGGCGAGGGUUUCGCGGAGCAUUCUCUUGAACUUUAAGGCAAUGGGACGGUCAGACACGUUUCGUGGGAUUUUUUUGAUGGGACAAUUGUGUUUUGGACAUGUGCGUCCAAAGCUCGGUUCCGGAUAAUAUGAAUUUUAAAUUAUUUUUUAUUGAUAAAUUAAAUUAUUUUAAUAAUUAUUUUAAAAUUUUAUUAUUUUUAAAAAUAUAUCAUUAAAAAAAUUGAUAUAUUUUUAGUUAUUUUUAUAUACAUAAUUUUGAUAUAUUUUUCAAGAUGUUUGAUUUUUAAAUAAUAAUAAUAAUAAUAAUUUAUUUUUAUUUUUUAAUUUAGAAAAUGACGUAUUUUUUUUCGAAUCAUUAAAUUAUAUUAAAUUUUAUUGAGAUUUACAAAAGGAAUAAAAUUUUAAUUAAUGAUUUUUUUUUUUUUUUUUUCAUAAUGAGCAAAGGUUAUUUAUGAAAAGAUAAAAAAAAUUAUAUUAUUCUUUUCAAUUUUUACACUUCUUUUGAGUCUUAGAUUUAAAUGAUGAAUUUAUAUGAAUUAAAACUUAAUUUUUGAGUCUAAUUUGGUCCAAAACGUAAUUAUUCAUUUUUUUUUUUAUGGGAGAAUUACUAGAUAGGAUGUAUUGGAUGCAAUAAUUAUGAAAAAGGUGGCUUAAGAAUUUUUUUUAAAAUAAUUUUAUCCUUGAAUUUGCUUUUUUUUUUUCUUUAUUAUCAAUAAAUAAUUUUGAGACUAUCAAUAAUAUGAGACCUACACAUGUUGAUAACUACAUGUGAUCAAUAGUGUAAUAUCAUGUCUCAAAAAUUUAUUUCACUUGAAUUAUAAUAAACGCUAGAAUAAAAUUUUAUUUAUAAAAGCUAAAGAUAAAGAUAAUUUUAGCAUUUACUUGAAUGAACUUUGAAAUGAUAAGUCUAAUUGAAUGUUAAAAUUUUUAUAAAAGCAAUCUAAUAAAUUGUGUAUUAUUAAUUUAAUUUAUUAUUUUGUAUUAACUAUAAAUUAUUUUAUAUCAUAUAUGUAAUAAAUUUAUCAUUUUUUUUACUCCUUUAACAACAUUGGUUGAAUGAAAUAUAUAUAUAUAUAUAUAUAAAAUUAAAUUAUUUGAAAUAUGGUAUAUUUAAUAAAUUUAUCAAUUUUUUUUUACUCCUUUGACGGGGUGAAGACAAAACUGCUUCCUUGGCCUCCUUCAUUCAUUGUGCCCUUGCUAUUUUCAAAUGAAUUCUAAACUAUACAAGGGCACAAUGAAAGAUCUAUUUAUUAAUAAACUUCAUAAAUUUGGACUCAAGACUCCAUCGAUCUCUCUCUAUCCAAACCUUAUACAUUUCUUUCCCUAUCUUUUCCAUUAUUUGCUCACUUUUUCCACUCAAACACUACCCUCUACUCUAUCAAAGAUUCGCUUUAUUCAUCACUUUCUAUUUCUAUUCCAUCAACAUCUCACCAUCUAAAACUCAACACACCAUUUUCUUAGUUGAACUCAAAAUUGCAAUUACACAAACACAAAUAUUAACUUUCCUAAAAAUAAAAAUAAAUAAUUUGAGUCAAAUGUGAAUAAUACGAGAAUAUAAUAUAAUUUUUUAUUCAAAGAGCUUGAUAUAACAUAUUUCAUGUAGAAAUGAAAUCUUAAAACAUACAUAUUUUUCGCCAACCAACCUAGCAUUUAGGUUCGCUUUGUUUACAUUGUAUAUUUUGGAAAUGGAUUGACCCUAGCCACUGGGACACAAAUCAAAGGGUGUACAAGGACUGCGUUAGGCCCCUCUUCCAUAUCAACAUUUCCAUUUCCUCCAUCACCAACUCUCCAUUCAAAACACUGGAUCAUAGCAGCCAGGCUUGUCUGAAUUACCUGCAGUGCUAGUGAAACUCCAGGGCAAAUUCUCCUUCCACUCCCAAAUGGCAGCAGAUGAAAAUGUUGGCCCCUUACAUCCAAGUGACUCUUUAGACUCCCAUCUUCUGUCAGGAAUCUCUCGGGCAAGAACUGAAGUGGGUUCUCCCAGUAGUUUGGGUCCCUUCCAAUAGCCCAACGGUUAACAAAUAGUUGGGUCUUUGCAGGAAUAUGAUAACCUCCAAUGGUGCAAUCUUCUGUAGAUUCUCUAGCGAUUAAUGCGCCAGGAGGAUGGAGCCUAAGUAUCUCCUUAACAAUGGCUUGAAGAUAAGGAAGGUUUGCGAUAUCUGAUUCUUCCACAAGUCU